rnacentral:tRNA from 1 species
GCCAGAGUGGCGGAAUGGUAGACGCAGAGGACUCAAAAUCCUCCGCCGGCGACGGUGUGCGGGUUCGAGUCCCGCCUCUGGCA